rnacentral:rRNA from 1 species
UGGGGAAUAUUGCACAAUGGGCGCAAGCCUGAUGCAGCGACGCCGCGUGGGGGAUGACGGCCCUCGGGUUGUAAACUCCUUUCGCUAGGGACGAAGCUUUUUGUGACGGUACCUAGAUAAGAAGCACCGGCUAACUACGUGCCAGCAGCCGCGGUAAUACGUAGGGUGCGAGCGUUGUCCGGAAUUACUGGGCGUAAAGGGCUCGUAGGUGGUUUGUCGCGUCGUCUGUGAAAUUCCGGGGCUUAACUCCGGGCGUGCAGGCGAUACGGGCAUAACUUGAGUACUGUAGGGGUAACUGGAAUUCCUGGUGUAGCGGUGAAAUGCGCAGAUAUCAGGAGGAACACCGAUGGCGAAGGCAGGUUACUGGGCAGUUACUGACGCUGAGGAGCGAAAGCAUGGGUAGCGAACAGG